GAUGAAGAACGUAGUGAAAUGCGAUAAGUAAUGUGAAUUGCAGAAUUCAGUGAAUCAUCGAAUCUUUGAACGCACAUUGCGCCCGCCAGUAUUCUGGCGGGCAUGCCUGUUCGAGCGUCAUUACAACCCUCAAGCCCCCCGGCUUGGUGUUGGGGACCGGCCACCGGUGCCCUGCUGCUUCCGCGGCAGGCGCACCCGGCCGCCCCCGAAAUGAAUUGGCGGCCCCGUCGCGGCCUCCCUCUGCGUAGUAGCACACAUCUCGCAGCUGGAGCGCGGCGCGGCCACUGCCGUAAAACGCACCAACUUUUUUUACAGUUGACCUCGAAUCAGGUAGGAAUACCCGCUGAUCUUAAGCAUAUCAAUAAGCGGAGGA
rnacentral:misc_RNA from 1 species